rnacentral:lncRNA from 1 species
UGAUUGAACUUUUGAUUAAAAUAUGAGUAAUAUAACAAAAAAUUAAUCAUGUUGAAGAAAUACAUGUUUUUUAUUCUUCUAAAAAAAAGUCACACAACUUGUUACAAUUUUUAAAAUAAUAAACUUCAAGUUACUUUUUUUGCAAUAUCUAAUGCAACAUAUAAUUCACAUUUAGUGAUAACCGUAUAGAACGUUUGUUCCUCAUUCUAAAUUGAAGAUUUCGUUGAACCAAGUUCCAACCAGCAGCUUCUCUGCCCAACAUCGUUCAUCUCUAUUCUGCCACCAAAUAAGAGAAAUCUCAAUUGUUAACCAAAUGUACCAAGCCUUUGACCAAAAAAAAAAAACCAAGUGUAUCAAGCUUAGUUGUUAAAGAAGUAUAUGAAUUACACUUUUAAAGUAAAGCUACAGAUUGAAGAAGUUGUUACCUCGAAGAAGAAAAAAUAAAGAAUUAUUUAGGCACUUAUGCUAAAUGGCAUAUGCUAAAUGCCAAUGUCUCUUCUUAGAUGUUGUAUACAUAGCGAACUCCAAUAGUGAUUGAAUGAGUUUUUGGAUUUGAGAAAGAGAGUCAGCACAAGUGAGAAGAAGAUAGUGAGUUCGUCAAGGGAGAGAAAAAGCAAUUUCGAGUCUUUUAAAGAUGCAGAUGAAGCAGUUAGAUGAAAAUCGUGGAGUAGAAACGGUGAAGAUAGGAGAUCGUGGAGAAGAACAAAUAUUCUGGUGUCAAAUGAUGUGGCAAAAUAUGAUUUGUUAUUUUACCUUUGAAUUUUUUUCAUCUUCGUUAAUUUCCUUACUUUUCUGAUAAACUUGCCAUAUGUCAAAAUUUGAUUGCACAUUUUUGUAUAACGAUCUCAAAUUUCUUUUACAGAUUUUAUGUUAAUUAUUUAAAUUAGAAAAAAUCUAUGUGGCAAAUUUUGAUUGGUCACAUGAUUUGU